rnacentral:rRNA from 1 species
UUAAGUGACUAAGCGUACAAGGUGGAUGCCUUGGCAAUCAGAGGCGACGAAGGACGUGCUAAUCUGCGAAAAGCUUGGAUGAGUCGAUAAGAGGCGUUUAAUCCAAGAUGUCCGAAUGGGGAAACCCAGUAGAUGAAGAAUCUACUAUCAUUAUCUGAAUACAUAGGGUAAUGAGGCAAACCGGGAGAACUGAAACAUCUAAGUACCCCGAGGAAAAGAAAUCAACCGAGAUUUCGUUAGUAGCGGCGAGCGAACGCGAAGGAGCCUGUUAGUGAUAAUGACAGAGACAGAGGAACAAGCUGGGAAGCUUGGCGAUACAGGGUGAUAGCCCCGUACUCGAAGUCCAGGUCAUGGUACUAAGCUAACGACAAGUAGGGCGGGACACGUGAUAUCCUGUUUGAAGAUGGGGGGACCAUCCUCCAAGGCUAAAUACUCCUGAUUGACCGAUAGUGAACCAGUACUGUGAAGGAAAGGCGAAAAGAACCCCGGUGAGGGGAGUGAAAUAGAACCUGAAACCUUGUACGUACAAGCAGUGGGAGCCCUUUAAGGGUGACUGCGUACCUUUUGUAUAAUGGGUCAGCGACUUAUAUUUUGUAGCGAGGUUAACCGAAUAGGGGAGCCGAAGGGAAACCGAGUCUUAACUGGGCGUCUAGUUGCAAGGUAUAGACCCGAAACCCGGUGAUCUAGCCAUGGGCAGGUUGAAGGUUGGGUAACACUAACUGGAGGACCGAACCGACUAAUGUUGAAAAAUUAGCGGAUGACUUGUGGCUGGGGGUGAAAGGCCAAUCAAACCGGGAGAUAGCUGGUUCUCCCCGAAAUCUAUUUAGGUAGAGCCUUGAGCGGACACCUUCGGGGGUAGAGCACUGUUUCGGCUAGGGGUCCAUCCCGGAUUACCAACCCGAUGCAAACUACGAAUACCGAAGAGUGAUACUCAGGAGACACACGGCGGGUGCUAACGUCCGUCGUGGAGAGGGAAACAACCCAGACCGCCAGCUAAGGUCCCAAAGUCUAUAUUAAGUGGGAAACGAAGUGGGAAGGCUUAGACAGCUAGGAUGUUGGCUUAGAAGCAGCCAUCAUUUAAAGAAAGCGUAAUAGCUCACUAGUCGAGUCGGCCUGCGCGGAAGAUGUAACGGGGCUCAAAUAUAGCACCGAAGCUGCGGCAUCAGACGAAAGUCUGUUGGGUAGGGGAGCGUUCUGUAAGCGGAUGAAGGUGGCUCGAGAGGGCUGUUGGACGUAUCAGAAGUGCGAAUGCUGACAUAAGUAACGAUAAAACGGGUGAAAAACCCGUUCGCCGGAAGACCAAGGGUUCCUGUCCAACGUUAAUCGGGGCAGGGUGAGUCGGCCCCUAAGGCGAGGCUGAAAAGCGUAGUCGAUGGGAAACGGGUUAAUAUUCCCGUACUUGGAUAAACUGCGAUGUGGGGACGGAGCAGGUUAGGUUAUCGCACUGUUGGAUAUGUGCGUUUAAGUUGGUAGGUGAGAAGUUUAGGCAAAUCCGGACUUCUAUAACACCGAGAGAUGAUGACGAGGCUCUACGGAGCUGAAGUAACCGAUACCACACUUCCAGGAAAAGCCACUAAGCUUCAGGUUUAUCUAAACCGUACUGAAAACCGACACAGGUGGUCAGGUAGAGAAUACUCAGGCGCUUGAGAGAACUCGGGUGAAGGAACUAGGCAAAAUAGCACCGUAACUUCGGGAGAAGGUGCGCCGGCGUAGAUUGUAGUCCCUUGCGGAUGAAGGUUGAACCGGUCGAAGAUACCAGCUGGCUGCAACUGUUUAUUAAAAACACAGCACUCUGCAAACACGAAAGUGGACGUAUAGGGUGUGAUGCCUGCCCGGUGCUGGAAGGUUAAUUGAUGGUGUAAUCGAAAGAGAAGCUCCUGAUCGAAGCCCCAGUAAACGGCGGCCGUAACUAUAACGGUCCUAAGGUAGCGAAAUUCCUUGUCGGGUAAGUUCCGACCUGCACGAAUGGCAUAAUGAUGGCCAGGCUGUCUCCACCCGAGACUCAGUGAAAUUGAAAUCGCCGUGAAGAUGCGGUGUACCCGCGGCUAGACGGAAAGACCCCGUGAACCUUUACUAUAGCUUGACACUGAACAUUGAAUUUUGAUGUGUAGGAUAGGUGGGAGACUAUGAAGUAGUCACGCCAGUGAUUAUGGAGUCGUCCUUGAAAUACCACCCUUUAACGUUUGAUGUUCUAACGAAGAUUACGAAACGUGGUCUCGGACAGUGUCUGGUGGGUAGUUUGACUGGGGCGGUCUCCUCCCAAAGAGUAACGGAGGAGCACGAAGGUUUGCUAAUGACGGUCGGACAUCGUCAGGUUAGUGCAAUGGUAUAAGCAAGCUUAACUGCGAGACAGACAAGUCGAGCAGGUACGAAAGUAGGUCAUAGUGAUCCGGUGGUUCUGAAUGGAAGGGCCAUCGCUCAACGGAUAAAA